rnacentral:ncRNA from 3 species
AUCACAUUGCCAGGGAUU